rnacentral:rRNA from 1 species
ACAUGCAAGUCGAGCGGAACGAGUUAUCUGAACCUUCGGGGAACGAUAACCGCGUCGAGCGGCGGACGGGUGAGUAAUGCCUAGGAAAUUGCCCUGAUGUGGGGGAUAACCAUUGGAAACGAUGGCUAAUACCGCAUGAUGCCUACGGGCCAAAGAGGGGGACCUUCGGGCCUCUCGCGUCAGGAUAUGCCUAGGUGGGAUUAGCUAGUUGGUGAGGUAAGGGCUCACCAAGGCGACGAUCCCUAGCUGGUCUGAGAGGAUGAUCAGCCACACUGGAACUGAGACACGGUCCAGACUCCUACGGGAGGCAGCAGUGGGGAAUAUUGCACAAUGGGCGCAAGCCUGAUGCAGCCAUGCCGCGUGUGUGAAGAAGGCCUUCGGGUUGUAAAGCACUUUCAGUCGUGAGGAAGGUAGUGUAGUUAAUAGCUGCAUUAUUUGACGUUAGCGACAGAAGAAGCACCGGCUAACUCCGUGCCAGCAGCCGCGGUAAUACGGAGGGUGCGAGCGUUAAUCGGAAUUACUGGGCGUAAAGCGCAUGCAGGUGGUUUGUUAAGUCAGAUGUGAAAGCCCGGGGCUCAACCUCGGAAUUGCAUUUGAAACUGGCAGACUAGAGUACUGUAGAGGGGGGGUAGAAUUUCAGGUGUAGCGGUGAAAUGCGUAGAGAUCUGAAGGAAUACCGGUGGCGAAAGGCGGCCCCCUGGUACAGAUACUGACACUUCAGAUGCGAAAGCGUGGGGAGCAAACAGGAUUAGAUACCCUGGUAGUCCACGCCGUAAACGAUGUCUACUUGGAGGUUGUGGCCUUGAGCCGUGGCUUUCGGAGCUAACGCGUUAAGUAGACCGCCUGGGGAGUACGGUCGCAAGAUUAAAACUCAAAUGAAUUGACGGGGGCCCGCACAAGCGGUGGAGCAUGUGGUUUAAUUCGAUGCAACGCGAAGAACCUUACCUACUCUUGACAUCCAGAGAACUUUCCAGAGAUGGAUUGGUGCCUUCGGGAACUCUGAGACAGGUGCUGCAUGGCUGUCGUCAGCUCGUGUUGUGAAAUGUUGGGUUAAGUCCCGCAACGAGCGCAACCCUUAUCCUUGUUUGCCAGCGAGUAAUGUCGGGAACUCCAGGGAGACUGCCGGUGAUAAACCGGAGGAAGGUGGGGACGACGUCAAGUCAUCAUGGCCCUUACGAGUAGGGCUACACACGUGCUACAAUGGCGCAUACAGACGGCAGCCCACCUUGCGAAAGAGAGCGAAUCCCAAAAAGUGCGUCGUAGUCCGGAUUGCAGUCUGCAACUCGACUCCAUGAAGUCGGAAUCGCUAGUAAUCGUGGAUCAGAAUGCCACGGUGAAUACGUUCCCGGGCCUUGUACACACCGCCCGUCACACCAUGGGAGUGGGCUGCAAAAGAAGUAGGUAGUUUAACCUUCGGGGGGACGCUUACCAA